AGAAUCAACGCUGGCGGCGUGCCUAACACAUGCAAGUCGAACGAGAAAGUGGAGCAAUCCAUGAGUAAAGUGGCGACCGGGUGAGUAACACGUGACUAACCUACCUUCAAGUGGGGGAUAACCUAGGGAAACCUGGGCUAAUACCGCAUAACAUCCUUAGAGUGGAAACUCCGGGGAUCAAAGGAGCAAUUCGCUGGAAGAGGGGGUCGCGGCUGAUUAGCUAGUGGCGGGUAAUGGCCCACCAAGGCUUUGAU
rnacentral:rRNA from 1 species